rnacentral:snRNA from 1 species
AUUGAUUUGAUAAAUAUACACUAAAAUUGGAACUGUACAGAGAAGAUUAGCAUGACCC